ACUCCUACGGGAGGCAGCAGUGGGGAAUAUUGCACAAUGGGCGCAAGCCUGAUGCANCCAUGCCAGCGUGUGUGAANAAGGCCUUCGGGUUGUAAAGCACUUUCAGUCAGGAGGAAAGGUUAGUAGUUAAUACCUGCUAGCUGUGACGUUACUNACAGAAGAAGCACCGGCUAACUCC
rnacentral:rRNA from 1 species